rnacentral:rRNA from 1 species
ACUCCUACGGGGAGGCAGCAGUGGGGGAAUAUUGCACAAUGGGGGAAACCCUGAUGCAGCCAUGCCGCGUGUGUGAAGAAGGCCUUCGGGUUGUAAAGCACUUUCAGUAGGGAGGAAGGUAGUGUAGUUAACACCUGCAUUAUUUGACGUUACCUACAGAAGAAGCACCGGCUAACUCCGUGCCAGCAGCCGCGGUAAGUACGGAGGGUGCGAGCGUUAAUCGGUAAUUACGUGGGACGUAAAGCGCAUGCUAGGCGGCCUGUUAAGUCAGAUGUGAAAGCCCGGGGUACUUAACCGUCGGAAUUGCAUUUGAAACUGGCAGGCUAGAGUCUUGUAGAGGGGUUAGAUUUACAGGUGUAGCGGUGAAAUGCGUAGAGAUCUGAAGGAAUACCGAGUGGCGAAGGCGGCCCCUGGACAAAGCUGACGCUCAGAUGCGAAAGCGUGGGAGCAAACAGGAUUAGAUACCCCGUGGUAGACUGUCA